rnacentral:lncRNA from 1 species
GUUUUGUGAGAAAUAAAGUUCAUUCAGAAGGAUCCUGCACUCCUAGAAGGAUGGCACAACAAACUUAAGAAGAGACUCAAACAUGUGUAAUAUCAUCCAGUAUGCAACAGGAGGAGCCCGGUCCACAACAAGACGACAAUUCAGAGGAAUAAACAUCAAAAUCUAACUACUGAUAGACAGAAACAUACAAGGACUCAUCAACGUAAUAGAUCACGCUGAUGCAGCAUCCCAUCUUCUCCAUCGGAACUGAAUAAUUAAGUGAAAUAAAAAUUUGUGACUUUUGAUUUGUUUUUCUCAUCAUUUUACAUAUUGUGCCCC